CAGGUGGGCGGGGUGAAGUGUCUGGCUACGGGAGCCACGCCGGGACAAAAUGCCCGAUGGACGUACGCGAACCCGAGGCAAUGUCAGUCCCGCGCCGCAACCGCGUCAGCUCCGUUGCUAGGGGCUCCGCGGAGUUCCGGCCUUGGCGGCAACGGGUGGCAGGUGUCCAAGGAGCCCCAAGUAGAGACGGGGUUUCACCGUGUUAACCAGGAUGGUCUCGAUCUCCUGACCUCGUGAUCCGCCCACCUCGGCCUCCCAAAGUGCUGGGAUUACAAGCGUGAGCCACCGCGCCCGACCAUAGCCCCAAGGUUCUCGACCCGUGCGGCGGGGCGUCCUGCGGUGAGUCCAAGACGCAGAGAAGAGUCUCGCGGGAGCCUCACCCGAGGCGGCACCGGCGCCCGGGCAAGUCGAGCCCUUCUGCGGUGAGUCCGCGCCCUGGGGUCGCUGCGCCAAGAGCCCAGGAGAGGCGCCUCCGCUCCUCGAAGUCUCAGCAGCCCGCAUGGCCGUACGACUCCCCACAGAGGGUGCCGGGGCCUCCCGCCCAAGACCCCGGGGCGGCCCCUUCCCGCGUGGCGCGGCCAGCAAGGUCCUCUUGCGGGACGUGGACGGGGCCGGGGUGCCUGGGCAGGCGCCGCCCCGGAGCCCACGGUCCAUGCGCUCCCAGCGGCCCCGACUCUCUCCUUGAUGGAACUGGUUGACUUCACGGAAUAUAUGGAGUGACUUUUCCCCCUGGAUUGGAAACUAUUUUAAGCCUGAAUAAUGUUAGAUACAACGAGUUCUAAAUUUCCCUUCAAAGAACCAGUAUGUCAGUAUGUUCACUCUUUGUCCUGCAUUUUAAAGUCUAACUUCCUCGCAGUUGCAGUAAACAACCUUUUCCACCUGU